ACGCUUGACACCUACGGAGGCAGCAGUGGGGGAUAUUGCACAAUGGGGGAAACCCUGAUGCAGCAACGCCGCGUGAAGGAAGAAGGUCUUCGGAUUGUAAACUUCUGUCCUCAGGGAAGAUAAUGACGGUACCUGAGGAGGAAGCUCCGGCUAACUACGUGCCAACAGCCGCGGUAAUCUGAGCGGGCUGGCAAGGC
rnacentral:rRNA from 1 species